rnacentral:rRNA from 1 species
GGCAGCACGGACUUCGGUCUGGUGGCGAGUGGCGAACGGGUGAGUAAUGUAUCGGAACGUGCCCAGUAGCGGGGGAUAACUACGCGAAAGCGUAGCUAAUACCGCAUACGCCCUACGGGGGAAAGCAGGGGAUCGCAAGACCUUGCACUAUUGGAGCGGCCGAUAUCGGAUUAGCUAGUUGGUGGGGUAACGGCUCACCAAGGCGACGAUCCGUAGCUGGUUUGAGAGGACGACCAGCCACACUGGGACUGAGACACGGCCCAGACUCCUACGGGAGGCAGCAGUGGGGAAUUUUGGACAAUGGGGGAAACCCUGAUCCAGCCAUCCCGCGUGUGCGAUGAAGGCCUUCGGGUUGUAAAGCACUUUUGGCAGGAAAGAAACGUCGUGGGUUAAUACCCCGCGAAACUGACGGUACCUGCAGAAUAAGCACCGGCUAACUACGUGCCAGCAGCCGCGGUAAUACGUAGGGUGCAAGCGUUAAUCGGAAUUACUGGGCGUAAAGCGUGCGCAGGCGGUUCGGAAAGAAAGAUGUGAAAUCCCAGA